rnacentral:rRNA from 1 species
GAUGAACGCUGGCGGCGUGCUUAACACAUGCAAGUCGAACGGAAAGGCCCAAGCUUGCUUGGGUGCUCGAGUGGCGAACGGGUGAGUAACACGUGGGGGAUCUGCCCUGCACUUUGGGAUAAGCCUGGGAAACUGGGUCUAAUACCGGAUAGGACCAUCGUUUAGUGUCGGUGGUGGAAAGUUUUUCGGUGUGGGAUGAGCUCGCGGCCUAUCAGCUGUUUGGUGGGGUAAUGGCCUACCAAGGCGUCGACGGGUAGCCGGCCUGAGGGGGUGUACGGCCACAUUGGGACUGAGAUACGGCCCAGACUCCUACGGGAGGCAGCAGUGGGGAAUAUUGCACAAUGGGCGCAAGCCUGAUGCAGCGACGCCGCGUGGGGGAUGACGGCCUUCGGGUUGUAAACUCCUUUCGCCAAGGACGAAGCGUUUUGUGACGGUACUUGGAGAAGAAGCACCGGCUAACUACGU